GCAGAGCCGCCGGAGCGCUGCCCGCCGUGUGCGGCGCGGUGCGGCCGUGGCGUCGCUCGGGGCCGCGGGGAGAAGCGAUCCACGGCUCCUCCCGCUGCUCCGACCCCCGCGUAGGUCUCCCCGAGGGAUCCCGGACAGAAACACGGCCCAGGCAGGAUUCAAUUGAUUUGCUAAUAAGAAGCAAAGCGACACAUCCAAACGGCCAGGAAUUUUCAGAAGUGGGAUUCAUUUGCAGUCUCUGAUAGAAGAACGGAAGCAGAAACAGAUCGAACAGUGGACUAAAGUCACACAUGUGUCACCUGAACAUCUCUGCUCCAUUUAUCCUGAAUGUGUGCACACUACCUGUUGGAGCACUGUAAUGAAUAUUCACUGUAUUACACUGAAGGUAUUUGCUGCGUGAAAAGCUUUAGGGUCUUAAAAACACCCAUAGCAUGGAUUCAUUUGGUGUUAUCAGGUACAGCACCGCAGGUUUCCUCUGCCAAUCUCCAACAAAAUAAUAUUUCCUACUUUUAUAUUCCUUCCUUCCUUCCUUCCUUCCUU